AACGAACGCUGGCGGCAGGCUUAACACAUGCAAGUCGAGCGCCCCGCAAGGGGAGCGGCAGACGGGUGAGUAACGCGUGGGAAUCUACCCAUCUCUACGGAAUAACGCAUGGAAACGUGUGCUAAUACCGUAUACGUCCUUCGGGAGAAAGAUUUAUCAGAGAUGGAUGAGCCCGCGUUGGAUUAGCUAGUUGGUGGGGUAAAGGCCUACCAAGGCGACGAUCCAUAGCUGGUCUGAGAGGAUGAUCAGCCACACUGGGACUGAGACACGGCCCAGACUCCUACGGGAGGCAGCAGUGGGGAAUAUUGGACAAUGGGCGCAAGCCUGAUCCAGCCAUGCCGCGUGAGUGAUGAAGGCCCUAGGGUUGUAAAGCUCUUUCACCGGUGAAGAUAAUGACGGUAACCGGAGAAGAAGCCCCGGCCAACUUCGUGCCAGCCGCCGCAGUAACAC
rnacentral:rRNA from 1 species